ensembl:lncRNA
AUGACGGGUAACUGGUGUAUGAUCAGCGGGUUAUUCUUUGGCAUCUCACUCUUUCGGGCUUUCAAAUGAAUCCAAAGCGGUUGAUCACCUGAUCAUCUUUCGUCUAUCGUUUGGCGAAAAGGCCAAACGCCAGCUUGAGGCAUUUGCAGCCACAUAUUUCUGAAAGAAUAUUGAGCAAACCAUCUACCCCCUCGCCUCAUAUCCACAAAGAAAUCCCCAAGGGCUCCGGCUCUCCAGAGGAAAUGAGAGGUUUGAGAUGUCUCCGCUGAUAAAGCGGCCGGCCUGUCAGCGUGUGUUUACUCGGCGGCUCGCUCUCUCGGCUUCCCCAGGUCUUUGCCCGGCCUUCUGCUUAGCGCAGCGUGAGAUAAACCGUUAAAACGAAAGCUGUUUUCCUUUUUUCCCCCCCUCACUCGUGUAUGAAGUCAUUCAUUACCUGUCUGAGUGUUUUAUCCGCUCUUUGGGCUCUGCAUUAAUUCCGUGGCGGGUGAAUUCAUAUUUCCAGCACUUAGGUCGAAAUUUUUGUGACAGCUUAAUUUAUGUCCUUGUAAAAAUCUUUCCAGAAGAGUUGAGGUUGUCCAAGCAACUGAGGCCAAGAUCUGAAAUGUGUUAGGACUUUGUGUCGAGAGAAGGGGACAAUCAAAGCAGCGUUUUAGUAAGUAACCCCCCCUGGUUUGAGUUCCACGUCACAUUCCAUAACACAGACGUCUUGCAGCUUUUAGUUACGUACUUUGCGGCAGUUCCUAGAUAUUUCGACAACUUCUUGCCAUGUAUUUUGUGCAAGAUGAUAUUUUUAUUUCGUAAUUUGCUAUAAUGCUAAUCCUAUAUUCACAUGCCAAUCUAGUUUCCAGCGCUUCAGAUAAUUGUAUCAGUUUCAGAUAAUCCCGGCUAUGGGAAAAGGCCAGAACAAAGAUUGCUGCGCUCACAUUUCAUAAUUGUACAUAUAGUGCGGCCAUGUUCCCCCCAUUUCUUUAUCUUAAAGAUGCAUUUUUAAUAUAAAAAUGAUGGGUUGCUCACAGAACUUGACCCACAAAUUGAGCAUUCUACCAUGUCAUCUGUCAUCAACCUUUUCUCCAUCCACUGGCUUUCUUCAGCCAAAAUGGUUUAACAGACUCACUGUUAGCGAUACCCAUCAAUCACCUGAUGGCAGACGGAUGAUCGGAACCUUGGUCUCCCUUUUUCUUUCCACCCUGCACUCCACAGACUUUCAGUACAUCCCUGGCUGAUGCCAGUAGCAGAGGGUUUCCCACCAUGCGGCAGUGGCUGGCUGUUUCUCUGAGUGACCGUAGUGAUAGACUUCAGAAGGAGGUGCAGGCUCCAUAACGCGUGCUCUCUGAGGCAGGGUGACGUGCAGCGGUCUGCUGUGGCACCGCGCUCUGCCGUUAGUGGAGCCUGUGACACCGAUGGACUCUUUAGACCGUUUAAGAAGACUGGCCCCCGUAACGGGCUGCAGGCCAGACGCCAGACGAAGCUGCAGCGGAGAGGAGGACGCUGAAAAAACUGCGACCCAUUGUGGAGAAUCCUGACCGCCGUCUCCACCGCCUGCAGCAAAAACAGCCUGGAUCCCCUUCGCUGUCACAAGGACCGUCGGAAAACCUGUUUGUAUAAAUGUGUAUGAAAAUCUUGAACAUACAAAUUCGUAACAAUACAUAGGAACUGGCGGUGGUUGACCACGCCCCUUGAGUGAACAACAUGGCGGACCAUGUCGGAUUCUUGAGUGAACGUCUCUCCGCCAUGUUGGAUUGUUUGAGGGGGUUAGGGUUAGUAUUCUAUUCUUACAAGUUAACAUUGAUUUCUCGUUAAAAAUGCAAUCAUAACACGUUUAUUUUACAUCGUUAGACUAAGUGUGUUUACGGGGUGCAGGUCCCCAUUCACUAUGAAUAGGGUGACGUCAUCAGGUGCGGUCCGUAUUUAUUUAGUAUGUAUCAUUACGAAUUUGUAUCUUCAAGAUUUUCGUAUACAUUUAUACAAACAGGUUUUAGAGAUCCGGCUGCAAUAAUACCACAAGGCUCUACAGAAACGUUGCACAUGACAUAAUGUUGAUGGAGCACUCACUUGAUACAGAAACAGGAGCUGAUGUAAGAAAGGAAAGAAUUUGAAAUAUAUCGAUCAGACAGGACAAAUCUACUACAUAUCAUACUUUAUUAUACAGUGUUUUGCCGACAAACACACCAAAUCAACAACAAGCUCGACCUCAGCGGGGAGACAGGAUAUCUAACUCGUUUAAAUUCCUCGCUCUCGCCCCCACCGGGUCUACACAGAGGAAUCUCAGGCCUACCCAAUAAAACAGAGUUGUGUUUGUACGACUCCCGACCACCUACGGCUGCUUUUCACAUUAACGAAUACUGUACAUUCCUCCAAAUGUUAAACACAACACUGUCCCGAACGCACGCACAUAGACGCCGCAACGCCGGCGUGCGAGCGCGUUGGCGCACGGCGCAUAAAUCUGGUGAGCCAGAAAGAUGUGAUAACUGUGGAGGCAAGUGUGCAAAUGAGUGCUUGCGAGCCUGUGUGUGUGUGUGUGUGUGUGUGUGUGUGUGUCAUUAGCGACAAACACCGCCCACCACGCCAUGAGAGCCAGGCAUAACAGCUGGAGCCAGGCAACAAACAUCUGUCAGUCGCGACGUCAGACGCGCACACCUACUGUCUCUACCCCACCUGUGUGUGUGUGUGUGUGUUUAUCUGUGUAGGAGGGUUGUGUGACUGUACAGGCAUCAGUUUGACCCCCCGGCCACGCCUUCCAGAUGCCCGACAAACAGGGGUCGUGAGGUCAUAUCCACCCUCAGCGCUGGUAUCAGCUGGAGUGUGAUUGGUUGAGUGAGGGCAUCGCUCAUGUAAACAAAUACAGUGCAGACUUUCUGUCUCUGAGUUUGUCCAUGUACGUAAUCCUUUGCUGCACUAGAGAGCAAAAGCAGCAGCGGGUGAGUCAUUUGGAGGCCCAAAAAGAUACUUCAGGGACUUUAUUCCCCAUCCUAUUCAAUUAAAAGUGCACCGUGUGCAACGGGUUUGUUCUCCUGCAAACCCAGUCGCACCGAUCACCCAUUGUCACGGAUGAGACGUGAGUCUCUGUGCGUCACGCGCCGGCUCGCACAGUCGAGCGCUCUCCCUGGCCGCCCCCCUCAGCGCGUAUUCAACCCGCUCUCCCCGAAAAGGAAAACUGCCUCCACUCGGCCUUUAUCGGACAGGCGAGUCAGCAGUCAGCGGGACAAGUGGAUUUCCUGUCCUGCUAUCAUUUCCCUCUCUGUGUCCCUCUUUCCCGUCCUGCCAGGAACAAAACUGGUGAACUGAAAUGUACAGAAACACACAGCACGUCAGGCCUUUGUUGUUAUGUGGAAACCUUUUACAGAUGGUGUUUAUUUGAUUUGCCUUUUAAAAAACAAAUCAUCUUUAUUUCUGGGAUAUAGAAGCGUAGGACAGGAACUACAGUUUAUUAGUUAAGAAUGGAAGUCUUGCUAUUUGCAAUCCUACUGCCCAUCAUUUUUCACUGUGUGUGUGAGAGUUUCAAAGGACUCUUUUUGUUGGUUCCACAUUUGUGCGUGAAAGGGAGGGAACGUGUGUUUGCCUUGUGUGGUUUUCCUCCGUCUGUGGAGGGCUCGCCUCGGCCUCCUUCAUGCUCAGCCAUCUAUAUUCAAAGUAAGGAGAAGUCUCUCCAAUGCUGGCCGGGUCAUCCUUGUAGAUGAGAAUUGGUUCUAAAUGGAUUUUACCUGGUUAAAUAAAGGUGAAAUAAAAUAAAAAGGAACUUGUAGGCGCUCGUGUUUGCAACAUGUGCAGUCAUGUUUGCAUGAUUGUUGGUUAAAUGGACAACAUGGACGUGUACUGUUGACGUCUCGAAGCCACGGAAGCUCAGCGUGUUGCAGAUCAGAGAGCAGAGGGGGGGAGGCCUUUUAACUUGUUUUUGAAAUUCAAGGGAAAUUUUCAACGUGUCUCUCAAGGUAAAAGAUCUGAGUUCCGAGAGGGGGAGAGCUAUGCCUCGGAGGUGUAGCGUUACCGAGGUGACCCACAGUCCCUCCCAACAGGUGGAAGAGAGGCCGGCUGUGCGUGUGCGUGUGCGUCAGGGGUCGGCGAGGUCAGGUGGGGGUUGCCUGGAUUCUUCCGUGCUAGUAUUUAGCGACGCUGCUGCAGACCCUGUGUUUUAACUGUGACAGCUGCUAAUCUCUCGCGCCCCUCCGACAAGCCGACUAACUGGAAAUAGAGGUGUGUGUGUGUGUGUGUGCGUGCGUGCGUGCUUGUGAAAUGUUGUCCUUGCUUGAACAUGAACCAAGUGAGCUGACACAGCAAAGUUCUCCUCGAUAGCCCGGGGAUAUAUUUGCUUUUCCCUCCGGGUAGCCAAGGCUUAAGACCCAUAUAUUACAUGAACUAAUGUCAAUACGGGAUAAAUAGGCACAUGGGCAGCUGUCUUACACCACGGCGCUUUCUCCGCAGCUGCUGAUGCUCGAUAGGCGGUGGAUUGUUGUUGAAAAUGUAUCCAUGCAUUAAAAACUUAUAGGAUACAGAGUUCUAUUCUAGACUGAAAAGAUAUUCAGUGAGACCAGAUUUAGGUGCACCGGGGCGCAAAGGUGAGUCAGCAAUUUUUGACAUACGUGUCAUAGAGUCAUUCGAUUUUUGGGGGGUUUUGGUUAGAUGCCAGAAGUAAUGUACAGAGAGUUAAAUGAGAUUACAAAAUGUCACGUCAAACACCAAUCCGCCCUUAUCUUGGUGGUGGUAACACACACAGUCUGGGACUCAGCUUUCGUCUGAUUUUAUUUUUGGAGGUGAUUGAUUUAUGAUUUGCGAAGCGUAAAUUCAACAAUGUGCUGUUUCUUUGUGAAGAUUACUUUGUUAAAUAGAACGUAAUCAAUGUCAUUAACCAGCAUUUAGCAGAGCUUAUUUGCUGCAAUUAUCCAAAAGAUGAUAAAUACAACGUUGGCGUUAGUUUCUUAAUAGUUUGUUUUUUUCAAAAAGUUCUUAAUUAGAAUAUUCUGAAACAGAACAUGUCGGUUGCGGGUCCAAUCAUCAAUGAGUGAGGGGAACGUGGGGCGAUUGUGGAAUUGCUUCACAUCCUAAUGAUUUUGCAAGUUUCCUGGCUUCAAAGUGGUUUCUGGUCUGUUUUUGAAAGACGCUGCAGAUAAGCGGCGUAUGUGCACUUCUGCGCCGACACUUUGCGAGUUAUCAACGUCAACAUCCUCGAGGGUUAGUAGCCGGCUGAGAGACACUCACAGCAGUAAUGCAUCAUCCAUUUCUUCGAUAGCAUCUGAAUGUCCUGGCAAGCCUCCAAAAGAAAACUCGCCAAACGUUGCUCAACUCGCCCGCUAUAUUUACGUCGACAUAGUCAGGACUGUUAUUGCAGCCCUUUGCCCACAAUUCUGUUUUUGAUGUAAUUAUGUGCUUGUUCAGCACAGAAUUUAAUGACAGCCUAGUCGUGUAUAUAUAUGCCACUCUCCUGCAGUCCCACUGUUCCUGUGACUCUGUCACGUGCCUGAGCGAGUGGCAUGAGCAGGGUGACUGAGUUCACAGUGUGUGUGUGUGUGUGUGUGUGUGUGUGUGAGAGAGAAAGAGAGAGAGAAGGAGGAGGAAGGAAGGAGGACGUAGACAGAAUAACCGGGGUUGGCUGACCACAGAGGAAUUUUCCCUGCAGGCAUCAAGGCCCACAGCUGAUCGCAGCACAUGGUAAUUAGUUACCUCAGUGUACACACACGCUACACACACACACACACACACACACACACACACACACACACACAAUUAAUACCAGUUUACAUUCAUAGACGAUCCUGAAACACUUCAGAAGCUGUGUGUAUGUGUGUGACCUGUCACCCUCACACACACACAUUGUUGGCUGGUCUUUGCACUCAAGGAACAUGGCGGUGCAGUCGGACUUUGUCACCCACAUGACAUUGCAGCGUGGAAAUGGGUCAGGCCGUAUUUGCAAAGCGCGCCGUAUUUGUUUUUCAACUUUGUGGAAUACAUCCGGGUGGAAUGGGCCAGAACCCGGGCCACACCGGACAGCGUCAGUCAAGGGCGUCUUGCUCUUAGGAGCAGCACGUGGGGUUCCAUAUGAAGCUCUACUCGUCACAAGAAGUAUAAACUGGAUGUCUUGCUGGAAAAUGUCCUUUUCUGCAAAGCACAUCUGAUCUCUAUCAUUAGGUCUCUAUAUAAUAAUGUUCAUAGAACGUAUCCUCUAUUGCAGUUCCAUUGUUUGUCACAGUAUUCUGCAAUAGGGAAAGAGACCGUCAACACGCCUGCACAAGAUUGAUAAACAGAUUGCUUAUUAUUUCUCAUUGAUUAAUAUGGUGGGGAUUUUUCAUUGAGACUUAUUGACUUCUAGUCUAGAAAUUGCACAAAAUAGAAAGUUCAAAUAUCAUUAUUUUCAAUACAAUUUAUUAAAAGCAACAGAAUCCGAUCACUUUGUACAGUUUACAUGUACCUCUCUGUGUGACAAGCAAUGUGUGGCAUUGAGGUGUUGACCAUCAUGAGACCGGAUCACGGCACUAUAAAAACACAACCACAUGACAUAUGUACACACGCACACACACACACACACUGGUUCAAUUGGAGACAUCACACCACCUCUCGCUUGGCCUUCAGGCCACACCCGUCGGUCCAGAUAGCAACAGACUUUCUUUGACGUCACAGCUGCCUUGACUCCUCCCUCCUCUCCCUAUAAUGCAGCUAAUUGAUCAUGAGACUCAGGGAGGGAGAGAGAGAGUAAACGAUGGAGACGCACAAAGAUACGUAAACAGACAUGGAAAAGGAGCCUGAGAAAAGCUAAAGGGCAGCACUUAGGGAUUGAGUUAAUUUAAGCUUAUUAAAUAACUUUUGACUUUUUACAAUUACUGUUGAAACAAGGCUGCAAAGACUUCAACAAAUGCCUUCUUUGUGGGUAUGUGUGUUCCUUACUGUGGAUUACUAAGAAGUUUGUGAAUUUCAAUAAUUCUUUGCUAAAAAUGUGAUAACAUUUUAACAUAUGUGGCUUCAUAGAAACAGACAUGUUUCUGGGUUCCCGGACCAAGAGAGAAAACAAGGUGAUAGUGAUCAUUUUAUAAUGUUGUAUAUAAGAGACGGCUGAAGGCUGAAGGUUGACUGACACGGAAAAAAUGUAAAGUCACAUUGCUAAAUACCAGAAUCCUUAAAAAAAGCACUUAACCGUAGCAUUGACAAACCACGAGAACACAAACCCAGUUGGUCGAACAUAGUAAAUCAAGAAAACUUGCUCAUGGAAUGUGACAAAGAAGAAGUUCCCACGAUGCUAUGAAAUCUAUUUAACAAAAUGUAGUUAACACAACGUCCAGAAUGUAGUGUGAACAUCAAUUGUUAAAGCGUGCGUGCGUGCGUGCGUGCGUGCGUGCGUGCGUGCGUGCGUGCGUGCGUGCGUGCGUGCGUGCGUGCGUGCGUGCACGUGUGCUGCAGGGUUGCACACUACCUGUUUAUGCAGGGAGACAGACAAUGAGCCAGUGGAGCAGCUUUUAUUGGUCACCCCAGGGUGCCCAGGUGAGCUUAAUCAAGCAGACAAGCAUGCUGAUUUUGACCAAACAGAAACCGCCUCCAUGACGCCUCGUUCACAGUCCUCGGAUUUGCCAUCUCACGCCCAUUUUCAAGUGUUACACUGCACGUGUUCCAAGGGAGCUUUCUAGACAGAUAUUUCAAACCCAAGGCAGAUAUAACAUGGCAUCACAUUUCUAAAUAGUACAAGUAUUAAACAAACAGUAUCAAGAUAAAGGCUGAAAAUACCGACAUUAAGUCACUAAUUUGUAUUUUUCAUUAUAAAGUUUUGUUGCUAGCCUUAUUGCUAACAGUGUGCUAACGCAUUAGCCCUGAUAAACAAAGUAUCUCCUCCACAAUGUGGCUUCUUUGUAACAUCCUCACAACACAAACAAAACCGCAAGGAGGCUGGGUUCAAGCUCAUUACACUGUCUAGCAGUCAGGAUGUUCACGUUACUCUCAUUAUAGCGUGCGUCACCCUCGGGUCAGCACGCCGACCUUUGACCUUUGCCCCCUUUUUUUAAUCUACUGCCCUGCGACUCACCUGACGAGGCUGAUCAGCUAACAUGAGACACACUUUGUACAGCGUGACCCGUUUGUACCCUGGAACCCACGGAAAGGAAAGGAAAAUGAGACGUGUAGUUGUGUCACAUGAUUAAAUUUGUCAUCCAGCUCGACGGCAUCGUCGCGUGACAUGUUUCUAUGAAUGUGCAACUGUUCCUUUUUUUUGUUUUGUUUGUGUGUCCCACCAUUAAAAACUGUUUCCUCAACCAUUCACAUUUUGCUUAUGCAGAACUUUAUGUCCAUUUGGCUUACUGCCAAAGGAACAUGCUCAUCAUUAUUUUCAUACAUGUGGCCCGCUCGGUGGAAAUUUGCACAUUACACAUUUGCAUGUGAAACCACCUAAAGAGGGGCAAUGCGGUUUAACCCUCAAAGCACUGACUCAUGCAGCUCCUCUUGCCUUCUGCACCUCUGCUAAGAAACGCCUUUAUCUUUCUGCUAAGGAGAUUUUGACCGAAAACUAGAGAGGGCCUUCCUCUUAUCCGCCUCAUGAUAAACCGGUUCCCUGACUCAGACCAUGUGUUCUCACUCCUUCUAGCCUGCACGCAACAAUACAUGAGUAUUCGUGUCCAUGCAAAUGGCUUUUCUAUGGGUUUUCUUUAGGCUCAUUGAAAACGUCCUGUUAUUCUGAUGAGAAAACUAGAACGUUAAUACCGUAGCUUUUAUGGGUUAUACUGGUCUGGAUGCCAUAAUACUGAAGAUUAAUAACAACGGAUAUUAAAAACAUUCAUGGGGCCAGCUAUACAAACUCAUGUUCUUUCCUGUGUGAAAGUGUAUGUGUAUGUUCAUACUUAUGCAAUCUCUAUUUUACUCAACACCAUUUUGUGGUACUUUUAGUUUAAUUGAGUUACUUCAGCUUUCUAAUCCAAUAGUAGAAAAUAUUGUAUGUACAUUUAUGAUACAGCUAGCUUGUUUAACAUUAAUAGAAAAGAACGAGGUUACUGGGGUGAGGUCAGUUUAGUUCACGUUGUGAACCAUUAAGCCUGUCAAUCAUCCCAGUGCCACCUAUGGGGACAGUUGGCAAUGGAGCCUGGGCUUGGCGGGGCGGGGUUGGUUUGAGGUCAUGAGACACUCAGCGUGGUUACAUGGAUUUGAAUAACUGGCUUAGUCGGACUGAAAUCGAAUUAUCCGUUUCAUGUAAACACCUUUGUCCGACUAUGUGCGGUCCGACUACGAUCCGACUAACACCCCUGGAUAACUCCAUCCGAUCCAGUUGAUAGUUCGACUAUUGCGGCAUGUAACGGUGAAUCGGAUGAGGAACUGAACUUUGUGUCUUUGCGCAUGCUUGAGAUCCCGACGGCGUCUUCUCUCCGUUAUCAAAUCAGCCGAUAGCGCCAUUCGCAUUCGCUGUACUCCUAUUAACAUCAUGCACAGAGAGUAGAAGGACGUAGCUUCACCUUGCUCUCCGUUCGCCAUCUUUCUCGUAAUGUUGAUGUUGUUGUUGUUGGUAGUGGUGAAGAGCUCAAGUGGAAAUGGCUGUAUCACAACUAGUUGUAAUGAAAACAGCGCCACCUAUCGUAUUGGAUAUGACAUGCGUUCGGCCAAUGAUUCGAUUUAUAGCACUUUCCCCCGAAUUAUACCACCAUGUAAACGCACUGAGUGAACGGUUGUUUUUGGCGUAGGCUACACUCGGCUCACUAACCUACGUGAGAGGAGCCGCUACUGUGGCCACGAGAAACAAUCACAGAAUACGCAAUGCUAAUAUUGUCAUGUCAAGCUCGAACAGGACCCAAAUGCAGACUGGAUUGGCGGGGAGAAUAAAGAAUAGUUCAUUCACAAAGAACCAAAAAUAACGAAAAACACCAGUAGUCCGAGACGUUCUGGUGAAGCUCCCGGCACGUAACGAUCCGGCAGGGACUGGCUCUCCGGACGGCUCUUAAAUACCCCCCUGAUCGGGAACAGCAGCCAAUCACGCAGGCGGCCGCGCACACCAACAACUAGAUCCCGGCGUGGCUGUCGUGACAAAUAUGUGAUAUUACGAAUGCAGUCAUAACUUUAGAUAACGUAAAUGUUUUCUAACAGGAGCUAACAUUAGCCUACAGCUCGUGGAUAUACCAGACUACGUAAGGACGGGAAAGCAAAAUGUUUGAGCAGACGUAGCUUCCUAAGCUUAGAUCACUAUGAACUUUAUUUAUCGAUUUAUUUCCCACAUUUUUUUUCUCCACUUUUGAGUAGAUAUAUAUUUAUCGGUUGUCGGCAGAGAAACCGUGCACAGAUAAAUGAGGAGUGAAGAUAACGCCGACGCGCUUUCAAGAUGCCAGCGGCUCUUCCCAGCAUACGGCUGAUUGAGAGAUGCCCUUUGAAGCCAAAGUGGUUUUCCAAGCGGCAACAAUAAAAAGAUGCUCGCCAUACUACGUGACAACAUAUUACCAAGAAUCAGAUUUCUGCAUUCAAUAUACCGGGGAAAUAUAGUGUGUGCUUAUUUUGUUAGCUAUUCUCCUUGUAGUUGUUGUGCGUUUGUGUGGCAGUGAAGGAAAUAUACAUUUCAAUACAUAUUUAAGGAAUUUCCUUUAACUGUGUCCAUGGCUACAGAGGACUAGUUGAAACAAAAAGCCCCCGGCGAGUGGAAUAUGUGGAUAGUAAAAGGUGAUGAAACAUACUCUGGCUAAUGCUAUUUAAUAUUGCCGUUCGCUGUCUGUCUGGGCGUCUGUCUGUCUCUCUGGGUCUAAUAUUACAUAUUUUUUUAAAUCAGGUUCUGCAUACCUGAUCCGAGGCCUGUUUAUAGAAACUCUAUCCUCCCUGAUGUGAUUGCUUCCUCGUCUCAGGCCUCCCAGUCAUGCCUGACUCACUUCAUGAGCCCCCCCGCAGACAAACAGCGUUUCAUGCUUCACGUAAUGCUUCGUGUGUGUAUUAGGAACGGUUUACUUAAUUGUUUGUGCAUGUGCAAUCCCUGACGUCUUAAGCCCACUCAAGAUCCGUCAGAAUGAGACGUUUCCUCAGUUUUUAGUGCAGUUUGCACAUAUUUCCAGCUGACAAGAGCAGCGGCUGUAGACAAAGUAGUUAUCAGAUAACUGGAUGGUGGCAGGGGAGACUUAUUUUUACCCAUCAAUCAACGACAUCCUGCUGACACUGUAAAAGUUAUUCACAUGGUGAAACUCCCAUGGGGGGAGUUCAUUGGACCGGGCAGCUUGUUUCUCAAUUGAGUGACCCGGGUCAGUACAGUGUCACUUAAGUUAGCGAGGCAGGUCAAUCCAGUCCGGUCCAGGGCUGAUAUGAGGAGAAAUUAAGACCUGCCUAUACAGCUUUUUAAUCCCUGCUAGUUAUAUAGAGCAAAACCUAUAACGGCCAGUAAAUAUAAUGCGUUCUUUCCCCGGCCACAUGCGAAAUCAUCACAUACCAGGUUUGCAGAAAGGUGUAAUGCCAACAUGUUUUGCAGGCAACUGGUUCUGAGCAGUAAUUCAUACAGUUCUUUCUCCUUCCAAAGAAAGCAAUAAAGACUUUUUCUCUUUCUGACUUUAUUGGAGAAAUGUCACCAUGUUCUUAGAUUUCACUUUGGCAAUAAUAGCAUCAUUAUGAAGGACAAAAAUAAAACCCAAGUAGCAAUCAACCACAAUUGAAGCUAUGUAACGCCGGCCGCAUGGGGUCACGGAGAGCGAACCUCACUUGAUCUAACCUGGUCCUGGUUACCUCCAUGACGCAGCAGUACCGCCGCUCCAUCCAGUAUUCAGCACCAUCUGUUGCGGGCACAGCACACGCUAGUUAAUAUGGAAACGCUGGGCCAUGCAUGAUAAAUGGAUAAGGAUAGUGUGAGGGCAGGAAGGACGCACAUGGGGUUCAAAAAUGUAGGAAAGUGGAAAAAAAGGGUCCACGCUAUAGAUUGGAAGGUGCCUUUUGGUCAAGAAGAGAUUUCACGCCCGUUGAUCUCCCAGACUCGACGUACCACACCACGUAUGUGUGCAGUGUGGGAUGGUGAAGAGUUGAUUGACAGAUACAAACAGGCUAACCAAACACUCAGUAGCUGUGUGUGUCUGUGUGUGUGCAUGCGCGUCGGUGUGUACUGACGUCCUGCUGACAGCAGCGUCCUGGCGGCCGCGAUGUGGACCGAUGAAGCUGCUGACAGCCUUGUGUUGUUUCACGGUGCUGCUGGUAGACUGUCGGGCAAGCCGGGGCACAAACGUCCCGGCCUGCCCCCCUCCAGCCCCCCCCCCACCUCCUUUCUGCCUCAUUGCGGCCCGGCCCCGAGGGUUAAAUACACAGGCUUUAUCUCUGGGGUUGAAUAAAGCUGACAAACAGCCUCAUCACCCAUCUCCAUCGCUUGUCAUUGGCUGCAGCAGAUUUAAAGACACCAGACGGAAAUCUUGGCUGUUCGCACUCUUAAGAAAGGGGCCUGAAAAACGAAACAUGUGUCAUUCACUCAGCAUCCCUGUUCAUGCUAUUGUUACCCAGGGUAGCACUGAGCUUAUGUCACCCAGUGUCCAGUCAUCUUUUGUUUCAGCGACGGUGACGUUGUAAAAGACAAAGUCAUUUCCGCCCAAACCCUUAAUAAAAGAUUUCCAGACCUGUUCUGUGGGGAGAUUGUGGAAAAAAACCCCAGUGAAGCAACAUUUACAUGGAAAAGGUGGUCAUCUGAUCCCUGUGGUAGCCUGACUGACCUGUGUGUGUGUGUCGGGGGGUGAGGGGGGGGCAGAGACACAACAGCCUCUCCAUAUCUAUCCAAUCCUGUUAUGAGGAAAAACUCAUUCUGACUUAAAUGUACUGUAAACAUUCAUAAUGAUCUCAGCCCUGCUGGAACGUCCCGGUUGAUUUGUCUUCAUGGCCAUUUUGAUUUUUCUACGGGCAAUUAGUUUUUCAUUUUGAUGAUUAUUCAUUAAAGACGUAUUAAUGCUUUAAACACUGCACACAGAUGUCACAAGUUGCAUGUUCCUCCAUUUAACCUGUUCUCGCAUGCUGUCACCCACAGCUGUCCUGGAGUCAGCGAUGGAGCAGAAGCAUCUAAAAAAGACGAGGAAGAGAAGUGAGGACAACGGCAGAUGUCGACCGCCGCUGGUUCACGAGAGGGCAUGGGCGAACAAGAGACGGGUGCUUGUCCCCGAUUUCCAUUCCCUUCUUAGUGCUUCCUCAUUGAGAGAGAGAGAGAGAGACUCCCGCUUGACGGAGAGUCACUCUAUCAUCUCACCCUCAGACUUCUAUCUCACAUGUCUAUCUGCCGCGCCUUCCCCUCUGCACUCGGACAGCAAUAUAUAUGAUAAGAAUAUGCUAAUUAUAGCAAAGUGGACUAUAGUGGCCAAGGACGUCGGCCAUAAUAAACAGUUAUCAGCAUGACAUGGUUUCAUGUAUAGUGUUAGACUGAUGAAAUACUUGGCGGCGUCGUUUGACUGAGGAGAUAGUGGCUCCUAGGAAAGAAAAACUCAUGUGAGAGUGUGUGUGUGUGAUGACAUCCAUAUUCCCCUCUUUGUGUUUUUAUUUCUUUAUAGCUCCUCUUGUAUGUCAAUAAAAAUGAACCUUUCCCUGUGACAAUGUUUCCCUGCUCACUAGGGAGGUGCUAUGUGCUCAGGAGGUAAACCGAGACAUGCUCUUCACAAAUGCAGCCCAUUUACCACACAGUUAGAAGCAAUCUGGGAGCGUGAACUAGCAAGUGUGGGAUCUGAAUGAGGCCCGAGGUGAGGUGUAGUUGCUGGGAGGGUAUGUGAGAGAGGUGACAUUGUGGUAAAGGUUGUGUCUGUUUGGAAUGCAGCCCGGGAGUCUGGGAGGACAUCUGGAUUGAAGAUUGACCUGUCGGACCUGCGAAUGAUCUACAGCCUGCUGGAACCUAAGGCACAAAAACAGGCCGACUCACACACACAUUAAGUAAUGUGCACUUACCUGAAGCACACAAAUUACAAACAAGCAUGUCUCAACCCACACACGCCCUGUGUGAUAAUAUCUGUGACCUUCUUCAGAUAUGCACAUGCAGCCGCACACGUAGACUCACACACACUUACAGGUGAUUGCAGAAGAUUGCAAUUAAUUGGCUUCAUGGUUGCUGUUAAAACUAUUUGUGAAAAGAUCACAGCUAUAACAUGCGACCACCAUGUAGGACUUUCCUGCACAGCGGAGGACGCAGGUGAACUAUAUUAUUGAAGUAGUCCUAUCACAAGCAGAGAGUGUAUGUGGGGCCGACAACCACUCACAACUAGUUUUGAAGAGACGUCCAACAGGUACCGUUUGGGUGUAGACACAAAGAGUGGGAUUGGUUAACGUUAAAAGCAUCAGGGCAGGAAAACCAAAGGCAGAGUAGAGCAGGUCCUGAUUAUCAGCCACGAGCCACUUCAAGUUUCGUGAAAAUAAGCCGUCAGGCAGGUUUUCAGCGUUACCACCAAUGUCAAGGAAUCACGUUGCCAAUUUGUAAUUUCUUGGAUGAUCUCAAUAACAUAGGCCAGCAAUUUGCCCCCUCUCCCUUAUGCUAGUCCAACUUAUGCUAUAUUUAACAGAGAUGAGAUGGUGUUAUCGAUCAAGAACGUGAUUAACUGCAUUUCCCCCUACCUGUUCAUUUAAAGUGAUGAUUAAAGGUUAUGUAGCCCAAAAAAUGAGGUUGAUUUAACCACGAGACCGCUCUUACUAAAUAAAUAAAAUACUUCAUGAGAAAAAACGGUUUAGCGGACCUGCGCUUACAUCCAGGCAUCAGACAGCCGCCAAUGACUGUAAAAUGCUUCUAGUGAAAGCAGCCGGGGUCACCGGCAGGUCAGGGAUCAAACACAUCUCUGGGACAGCGAGAGGAGUAGGAGGGAGAAGAUGAGAAGAACAGAAUGCUAAGAUACGGAGAGGGAGGACCGGAGAGCUAAUGAGACGAACAGAGGAGUGUGGCACACAAGGAGGAGGACGACACACUUCACUAACGCAGCUUAGCCGGUGUCUCACUUCACCGCGUUUAUGUGUGUGUGUGUGUGUGUGUGACGCUGAGAGAGCAACAGACUCAAAGCAGCUAACUAAACAGCAAAAGGACAAAGCUGAGUAGAAGUGCAGCUCUGCUCUAGAAAUAGCAAAAGCCUCCCCAGUGGAGAAACCAGAUGGAUGGCGCACAAACGCACGCACACACACACACACACACGCACAAACAACACACACACACACACACACACACACACACACACACACACACAAACACACACAAACUUGUUGACAGCCACCCUUGACUGGUGUGUGCGCGACCGUUUGUGUGUUUGUGCAGGUUGCGGUUUGAUGGAUGAACUGAUUAUUGCCAUUUUGGGACCCAGAUAACAGUGUGCACAAGGAACUUUGAUUUGAAACACAAUGUAGGUAAGCGCACUGAAACCGUGAGUGUGUGUGAGUGUGUGAGUGUGUGUGUGUGUGUGUGUGUGUGUGUGUGUGUGUCUAUGGUUUAUGCCUCAGUGGUCAUUGUAGCAGACACAGUGGCACUUUGCAUCCCCACCGCAUGCAUAUCAGACGCUCAGCCAGACGGAGUUAUCAUUUCUAAACAUAAGCAUUGCAAUAUGCAUAUAGACUGUGUGUAGGAAUGGACGUUUGUCUGUCUCUUUGGCCCUCAGGAUAGGUUAAACAUUGCUGUCUUUUUAUAGCGUCAGCAACUGGACGAGUUCGUGUGCCUCAUAGUGAGGACGUCAGUGACUUAGAGAAAGACCUUUGUGUGUGUCUGCAAGAAAAGAAACCAGCGUAGAAAGAUACUCAUGAUACCAGCAGUGGUGAGUGGAGAGCAAAUCGUAGGGGCUUGGUGUAGUUGUGUUGACGUGUUUGCGUCCGUGCAUGCACACUCCUGCAUGUCCUUGGGCCUUUCAGCACAGCUUUGUGCCCGGCUGUCAAGGCAGUCAUAAAAACCUUUGAGUCAGCCCGUGUGUGUGCUCGCUUUUUUUCUGGCGCGCGCGCACACACACACACACACACACACACACACACUCAUACACGCACGCCGUAUUUUUCCAUUCCACUGUGAAAAAACCGACAGUGCUGUCAGAGAAGAAGAUCAUUCACCUGACCUGCAUUUCACACGCUCAUUGCACUCGCCUGGGAAACAGACAUAUCACUGUUAUUUUCAACAUGUGCAGAAGUCUAAUCUGGGAGCAUGUGGCCUACUGUAGGGUCAUAGGUCAUCACUUUUCAGGUGGCCGAGGUGCAUAUUCUCAGCCCGGUGUAUAGUUAACAGAUCUCUAACCCUGUGAUGAAGCAUGGUGUCAUGUUUGCUAGAAUCCGGCCCAGUUAACACAAACCGGUCAGCCAUUCAACUAGAGGUUUAUUCAGUAGCUCACGUCACGUGGAGAAGAUUAGCAUGAACAUUGUGUCACGUAGGGCAUGUGGGACUAUGGCAGAGAAGCGGGACAGCAGAUUUGUGUAGUUUCUAUAUUGUAUUCAGUUUUUUUUACAUUUCUGCUUAAAUUAAUAGAUCCUAUAUAAAAAGUGGACUUGACCCUAUCUGGAUAAGAAGGGGAACAGGGGAAGAGUCAGGCCUCGCAGAGAAGACACUAAAUUACCAGCAAACCUUUCAGGUAACUAACUCUGAUAUUAACUGAUCAUUUCCUUGAACAAUGCAGUGGUAGAGAUGUCAUUAUUAAUAUAAAUACAAACAACAUGAACUUCAGCCUGUAUUGAAUAAGACUUGAAAUUAGCCAUUGUGACCAUAAAAGUCAUGUCUACAAAGUUUUUAUUACAAUAUUGCAUCCCCCAAACG